GAUGAACGCUAGCGGCAGGCUUAAUACAUGCAAGUCGAGGGGCAGCAUGAUUGUAGCAAUACAAUUGAUGGCGACCGGCAAACGGGUGCGGAACACGUACACAACCUUCCAACAAGUGGGGGAUAGCCCAGAGAAAUUUGGAUUAAUACCCCGUAACAUAGCGAUGUGGCAUCACAUUGCUAUUAUAGAUUUUUCGCUUGUUGAUGGGUGUGCGGCUGAUUAGAUAGUUGGCGGGGUAACGGCCCACCAAGUCUACGAUCAGUAGCUGAUGUGAGGGCAUGAUCAGUCACACGGGCACUGAGACACGGGCCCGACUCCUACGGGAGGCAGCAGUAAGGAAUAUUGGACAAUGGACGCAAGUCCGAUCCAGCCAUGCCGCGUGAAGGAUUAAGGUCCUCUUGAUUGUAAACUUCUUUUAUAAGGGACGAAAAAAGGCUUUUCUAAGUCGUCUGACGGUACCUUAUGAAUAAGCACCGGCUAACUCCGUGCCAGCCGCCGCCGUAACAC
rnacentral:rRNA from 1 species